rnacentral:rRNA from 1 species
UUGACAACUAUACAUUUAA